rnacentral:rRNA from 1 species
ACAUCCAGCGAAUUCGGUAGAGAUACCUUAGUGCCUUCGGGAACGCUGAGACAGGUGCUGCAUGGCUGUCGUCAGCUCGUGUUGUGAAAUGUUGGGUUAAGUCCCGCAACGAGCGCAACCCUUUAUCCUUUGUUGCCAGCGGUCCGGCCGGGAACUCAAAGGAGACUGCCAGUGAUAAACUGGAGGAAGGUGGGGAUGACGUCAAGUCAUCAUGGCCCUUACGAGUAGGGCUACACACGUGCUACAAUGGCGCAUACAAAGAGAAGCGACCUCGCGAGAGCAAGCGGACCUCAUAAAGUGCGUCGUAGUCCGGAUUGGAGUCUGCAACUCGACUCCAUGAAGUCGGAAUCGCUAGUAAUCGUAGAUCAGAAUGCUACGGUGAAUACGUUCCCGGGCCUUGUACACACCGCCCGUCACACCAUGGGAGUGGGUUGCAAAAGAAGUAGGUAGCUUAACCUUCGGGAGGGCGCUUACCACUUUGUGAUUCAUGACUGGGGUGAAGUCGUAACAAGGUAAGCGUAGAUGA